GCACAAGCGGUGGAUUAUGUGGAUUAAUUCGAUGCAACGCGAAAACCUUACCUACCCUUGACAUGCUAGGAACUUGCCAGAGAUGGCUUGGUGCCCGAAAGGGAACCUAGACACAGGUGCUGCAUGGCUGUCGUCAGCUCGUGUCGUGAGAUGUUGGGUUAAGUCCCGCAACGAGCGCAACCCUUGUCAUUAAUUGCCAUCAUUCAGUUGGGCACUUUAAUGAGACUGCCGGUGACAAACCGGAGGAAGGUGGGGAUGACGUCAAGUCCCUCAUGGCCCUUAUGGGUAGGGCUUCACACGUAAUACAAUGGUCGGUACAGAGGGUUGCCAACCCGCGAGGGGGAGCCAAUCCCAGAAAACCGAUCGUAGUCCGGAUUGUAGUCUGCAACUCGACUGCAUGAAGUCGGAAUCGCUAGUAAUCGCGGAUCAGCAUGUCGCGGUGAAUACGUUCCCGGGCCUU
rnacentral:rRNA from 1 species